GCCAAAUUAGUUCCAGCUACUUCAAAGACCUGAGCUCCAGCGUCUUCCUCCUCCACUCAGAGAGACGAUCUCCAGGCUGAAAACCAGAACAAUCAUGUGGCAACACUGGGAUCACUUCGUUUAUAGAUUUCUCCAUAUCGUUGUUUGCAGCCUACGUUUUCUUUUCCUCUAAUACUUGCUGCACUGGCUGAGCCUCGGAUACAAAGCUGGAGAGAGGUGGUGUUAGCCGACAUCCUUGUGUGGUCCUCAACUCUCAGACCAGUCUCCUACCUUUCACCAUCAG